GAAGGUUCCUGAGAUGGACUCUCGCCCGCCUGGCGACACUGGCCGCCCGGCAUCGUGCCCGGCCCAGGUGGGCAUUUCACUGAUGAGCAGCUGUGGGGACGGCGAGCUCCGGCAGCCGCCCCGACCCCGCCGGGUGCACCUGCGCGCGGUGCCGCCGCCUCCCGCCGCCAGUGCCCGACCCCGGGCCACCGAACUCGCCACCCCUCCCCUCCGGUCAGCCCGCACGGCGGCGGAAGCGCCCCGACCCCCGGCAGGCACCGGAGAGCCGCGGGGGAAGAGAGCUCGCCAUCACAUGGAGGCCCGGGCCCGCCCCCAUUGGCUGCGGCCGAGCCAGUGGCGGCGCUCGCCGGCUGCGGUUGGUCCCGAAGCUGCAGCGCCUGCACGGGCCCGGAGUCCAUGUUACGCUUUGUCUAAUUCCCCCCGUUACAGAGUCAUGUGCUGCUGCUCCUGUCGCCGCCGCUGCCGCCGCCCGUGGUGCCCCGGCUCCUCCGCCGCGCUUCGAGGUGGCAGCCGCGGGCGGGGCCGCGGGAGCAGGGUACAGGGCGCCGCGCGCCUCCGCCGCCCCGGCGCGUCCGGGAGCAGCAGUAGCCGCAAGCCGCAGGUGAUGCCGCCACCUCUCGCCUCCGCCUAAGCCGGGGCUAGGCGGCCAAAGCUGCCCGGGCUGCCCCCCCAAGGUUGGUGCGCGCCUCUCCCGGGCAGGGGCCGGGGACUGUGCCGGUGGAGCCGCGCCGCAGCCGACACGCGCCACCCCGGCGCCGGCGACCUGCCCCGCGGCGCCGCGGCCCGAGCGGAGGCUGUGGCUGGGACCUCGCGGGCUGGGGGACGCGGGCGGCAAGCGGGCCGGGCCGAGCGCUAGCUUCGUCCCCGAAGAUCGUUCCGCUUUCGGCAAUUUGAGCGGCGGGUGCCGGGGCCGCGGAGUGGGCCCCGUGAGAGGACCGUGCCGGCCUGCGACCGCCUCUCUCCGGCUCCCCGCCACGCGCGCUCCCUUCUCUCGCCUCCCUCCGCCCCAUCGGAAGGGCGGGGAGACCCGGUUACGGCUCGGCUGAUUCUUCCCGGAGGUGGGUGUUCGGUGUCUGGCCUCGCUGGCCCGCUGCCCAGAAGACAGGAAGUGCACGGCCGUCUGUAACGUGCUGCCGGGUCCCAGGAUGGAGGAGUGAAGCCCCCGCCGCAUCGCGCCGGUCCCAGCUCGCGGAGCCCGCCAGCAGCCAGUCCCCGGAGAGGAGAGCGCCCUGAGGGUGCAGGGUGGCCGGCUGGUCCAGUACCAAGCUGGAUGGCAUCACCGACUCGAUGGACACGAGUUUGGGUAAACUCCGGGAGUUGAUGAUGGACAGGGAGGCCUGGCGUGCUGCGGUUCAUGGGGUCGCAAAGAGUCGGACAGGACUGAGCGACUGAACUGAACUGAACUGAACCUGCUGGGUGUUUUCAAGAAAGUCAUAAAUUUUGUAAAUACUGCAGUUUGUUAGUCUGUGUAAUUGGGACUAUUAUCUUUUGCUGCUUAACUGCUGCAUUCAAGUAAACAAAAGACAAGUGAAGCUUUUCAUGUCUUCUGAAAGAGGAGGGCCUAAAAAAACAAACACUUUUUUGUUCUUUUUCCAAAAAAAGCGUAAUUCUCCAUUUUUAUGUAUUUUAUUACUAGAGUCAGGAAAUUUUAAGGUUAGAAAUGAAGUAGUAGUCAUAUUCUGUUUAAAGCUAAUAGAAUUAUACAUUUAGAUAUAUACAGAAAAUUAGAAAUGUUAUGAAAUAAGUGUAAAAAAGAAUUCAUUCACAGUACAUUUAUUAUUGCAACUGUUAAAAUAUAUACACAUUUUAAAGGAAAUGUAAAGAUUAAAUAUUGCUAUUUAAGGAAUUAUGAGUAAAAUUUAAAAAACUUUCUUUGUAAUAUUCUUAUGUUAGAUAUUUUACAGGAAGUAGAGAAGUCAGAAGUUUCUGGGGUGCUUACUAAGAUUAGUUGGAAACGUUACUGAGUUUUUAUGUUUGUAGUAUAAAGUAUAUUAGCAGACUAUUUAAUAGAUGUGUGGAGUAGAGAAGUAAUUUGCCUCUUUUUAAAACUCAUUUCUGAAUGAAAGACUUGAUACAUGGAAAUAUUAAUGGAGAAACAACAAUGACAAAUCCAGGGCUUGUUACUAGGUUAGCCCAUUUAUCUAAGCAUUUGGGCUUGGUGCCUCUGAUCUGCUGCUGCUGGUCCCUUCAUUCUGGUUUUAAUUUGUCAAAGUCUGUGCUGUAACACUUUCUCUGCCUUUUUGUUCCUCUUGUACAGCUGUGAAAAUUACUUAAGUGAGAAAUGGUUUGGGGGUAAGAACUGUGAAUGGAGAAAAGAAAUAAUCCACUCAUUAUUUAAAUACAAGGAAAGAGGAUUAUCUGCAAUCCUGAGCUUUUACCCCCGAAGAACUGAUAGUAUAAAUAGGUCGUCUUAGCUUUUAUAAAUGUAAACCGUAAUGCCUUAAUAACGACUCUUAGGAAAAAGUCAAGAGGCACUAAUUUUGAGGUACCUUUUUAUCCUUUUACUUUAUGAUGAUUCCUCUAUAUGAUUCCUAAAUUAUUUGCUCUUUGAAAGAAGUAUGAGCUUGUAAUCAGCCCUGCCACAGAUGCCCAGUAUGGGAUCUAGACACUAGAGCAGUGCCUUGACAGAGGCCGACUCCCGUUUUGUGCUUUCAGGAGGUGGUUGUAAACAGCGAAGUGAAAAUGUAAAAAUGGCAAAAAUGACUGUGGCUGUAACCUGCAAAAAUACUGAGCAUUAAAAUAAUCCUUAUAUAAUUGCCAGAUUGAUACACAUUUUAUAAAUACAUAUAAUGAAUAAAAUAUAUGAAAAUAUUUUACAUAUUUGCUAAAAUGAAGUUCCCGGCCUUUUUUAGUGUUUAAUUCUAGAUGAGUGAUUCUUACAUUUUAGGACACAGUAACAAAGCAACAUUUUUACAACAGUCUUAAAAUAUGAUUUACCAAGUAGUAUUCUCACUUUCCAGAUGGAACCUAAAAACCAAGCAGUAAGUUGAAGUUGAAGGCCACACAGUAGAUGAGCUGUUCAUUCCUAAGUAAGCUUUCAUCAGUGCUAGGAAAGAGAGCUUAUAAAUCUCCAACUUAAGGAGUAAGUAGAUUUAUCUGAACCAUUACAAAAUUAAGGGAAUGUACAUUUUCAGCUUUUCUGGAAGAAAUGAACACCUCUGUACUCUGAUCUCUUUCAAAUUCAUCAUAUUUUGAGCUAAAUAUUAUGCUAAAACAUAAGGCAACUGAUUUCUUUCCUAACAAAAAUAAAUUUACAUCUUCCUCUGUGAAUGUGAAGAUAACUAACCAAAGAUAAGCCCACCUUCAACUGUCAUAAGCUUACUUCUCUGUAAUAAGUUUACUAAUCCCAGAGCUUGUUGCCCUUACCUUAAAAGUGCUAUUUUUAGGGAAAAAAAAAAAUUACAGAAUUUUUUGAGAUUAAAAAAAUUAUAUAGUUUUUUGAGAUUUUCCUUGAAAGUUUUCUAAUGUUUUCCCUCCCUCCAUUUAGUUAUGGAUGGGGGCUUUGACAGGAAGCCUCAUGUUUGUUGCAGAUAUGAUCAUCUCCUGGGAAAAAGACAGGUGGAAAUUGGUGGGAGACAGAUUUCAGCUUAAUAUAGAGGACAGAUCUCCUUUAAAGCCAUGCAGAGCCAGACUCAACUGCCUGGCACUGUCGAGGGCCCAGCCCUGAGGGCGCCUUGUAGGGGCUGUCCAUCCUUGGCCGAAGCUGUAGAGAGACCCAAAACCUCCCAUGGGAGGAGGGGGAUCAGAGAUGUCCUCCGAGGUCACACAGUGCAUCUUCAGUCAUAAGCUUUGUGCUGGAAGAACUUCGUUCAGGUACCAGCUCUGCUGUGUACUAGCUGUGCAACUCUAGGAAAGUAAUCUAGAUUACUUUCUCUAAGCCUCAGUUUGCCCUUAAAAUGAGAACAAAAUGAUGUGAGGCUUACAUGAAUGUAAUGAAUGUAAAGCACUUGGUGUAGUCAUUCCUUCUGAUUCUGUAGCUUUUCACUCUCUGCCCCUUUUCUGUUAUUUUUCUGUCCUCACAUUCAUUCUUUUGCAGUCUCUGUUUUCUCUCCAGUUCUCUACCUGUGUCCUAGGGCCUGCCCAUGGUGCCAGGGAUGCCCUGAGCUCCUUCAGCAACCUUACCAUCAGUGUCCGAUUCCUAGGCAACUCAGUGAACAACUGGUGAUCCUCUGUGUCCUUUAGAUUUGGCAUGAGGGAUGGCACUGAAGAUCUUAAUAAAGCCAAGACACAUUGCUGCAUUAGCUUUCACUGUGGCACUUGCAGCUUCACAGUUGAUGGCCAUGAAAGCACUGAAUGGAGUUGGAUAUGGACAGAGAAAAAAUUUUUUAUACAAAGCAUUAUGAAAGUAAAAAUGUGCUGGCAGCAUUUAAUUUUUCUUUUAUUUAAGUCUCUCUUAGGGAGUCAGGCUCCUAAUUGUGAGUAUUAUAUUUUAGAGAGAAGAAGAAUAUCAGGACCACAGAGCCAGAAGCAUUCUUUUUAACAGGAACAUUUAACAUAACCUUAGGGAAUUGCUGUGGGUAGUAAAGGGGCAGUAUAAAAAUUUUGUUUAUUACGUACUAUUUGAAGACCACUUGCUUGACAGAGUGAUAGCCCUUAGAAGUGUGGUGGAAACUCUUUAGUACAUCUUGACUAAAAGAGAUGUGGCUAUACCCUUAAAAAAUACAGGUUGCUAGGGCUGGAAAGCAACUUUGUGGACACUCAGUUCAGUGAUUUUCUCUUAUAAAUAAUGAAGUGGAGAAUCAGAGACAUGAGGUAACCUGUUCCUUGAAAUGUAACUCUUUGUAUUAAACAAAGGCCCACUGGAAGACAUGGCCUCUGCCACUGCAGUUAUUUUCUUAUAUUCCACUGCAGUACUAUAACUCUGGCCUCUGGAUCUGGAAGCCGUAUCUCUGUGGCUCAAAGAUGGUCUCUACUCUGUUAGCCCUGGUUGCUAAGUAAUGAUAUGAUAAGAAACUUCCCAUGUUCUUACUCAGAUUCUUUCUUUUGUUCAUGUUUGAUGACUUUAUGAAAUCUUUGAUUUAUUUGGGGAUUCCCUGGUAGCUCAGCUGGUAAAGAAUCCACUUGCAAUGCAGGAGAACCUACUUCAAUCCCUGGGUCUGGAACCCUGGAGAAGGGAAAGGCUACCCACUCCAGUAUUCUGGCCUUGAGAAUUCCAUGAACUGUAUAGUCCAUGGUGUUGCAAAGAGUCAGACACAACUGAGCGACUUUCACUUUAUUUGGUUUAUUUGAUUGCUCUGGCCCAGGAAUCAUUUACAUAGGCAAAUAUCUGGACAGCUUAGUUUUCCUGUAUUUGACAAUUUUUUGAUCUCUUACUCCAUGCCAGGCACAUUUAUAUUUUUAAGUAGUUUACAUGAGCUAACUCUGGCAGACAGGCAUAGUUAUCUAUACUCAGUUAUCAGAAAACUGAAGUUUACAGGGCUUAAGCAUUUAUUCCAGAUUCUAUAGUUUGCAAACUGGAACUAGAUCUCAAAUCAGUUUUCCAGACCAUGUGUUCAUAAUUUCUGCCUUGUCUACAUUUUCUGCAGCCCUUACUGCCUGUGUAAUGGAAAACAGGGCAUAGAAUUGAAAUCUUGUGGCAGAUAAUCCAAAGAGGAUCAUCUGACCUAACCUCUUAGCUUCUGACAGAUGAGGUGUGAUUUCAUACAUGAGAUAUUCAAAGCCUUGUUUUUAUUUAUUUUUUUGGUUUGAUACUUCAAAGUAAAAAUGAUAUUUUAGUUUUUUAUUAGUAUAAAAGUAGUAAAUCCUCAUUACAGGAAAAUGUGAAAAUAUAAGAAAUAAAGAAGAAAAUUACAAUAAUCUUUAUAGCUUUUUGUAGCUCAGAUGAUUAAAAGUGGGUUCAGAUUUCAGCUUUAUCACUUACUAGUGCUGUUUGACUUCGAGCAAAUUUUAUAGCUGACAUUUCCAUGCCUCAGUUUCCUGUGUGUAAAGCAAGAAAACUCAGUGUGCCUAACUUGUGCAGUAGUUAUGAUUAAGUGGGUUCUUAUUUGUGAGACAUUGAGAAUAGUGCCUGACACAUAAUAAGUGUGAUACAAGUGUUGAUGAAAUAAAUGAUCAUCCAUGUCAAUAGUCUUCCCAUCUUUGGCCCCUGGAGAAAGAACUAGAGGCAGACACAGAAUGUAGAUCGUGCAUUGCAGUGAAUGGGUAAUGGACUGAGAUGUGUGGAGAUGGAGGCAGGGGACCCUCUGCCUCUGUUUGCCUCCUUAAUAAUCCUAGAAAUCCUUGAAAGUUUCACCUUCAAGACUGAAAUGAUUCUCCUCUUUCUGCUCCUUGCUCCCAGGGAGCCCACAGAAACCAAGCCUGUUUAUUGCGUAUCUUCUUUUGUAGGCUAGGCCAGACGUGAAUUUCCUUUCAUGUGAUAUUUUCUGUGGUCUGUGUUAGUUUAGUUUUUCCUUUGUUUUCUUGUGCUUUGGUGUGAAGAAGAUGCCCUGUUUAUAGAGCCUUGGUGUCUUUCAUGUAUAAUGCAUUCUUCAGCUAAUUCUAGUUGCUCUGACCCUUUGAGAGUUUUAAAUUGCUUUGUUCCAGUUUCUAAGCAUUUUUGAAAUAUUAAAAAUGUUCAUGAGGGAGUGGGUCAUGGGAAAACUUUUCCCAGAGUUGUUUGUCCUUAGCAAAUUGUGAAUUUGCAUGGAGCGGUUUAAUGCUGGGUUAAAUUCUGCCAGGUGCAGUGGUCACUUGAACUUGAAUUCCGAGUUCUUUUGAUAUUUAAAUCCAUGUUUCUCAGCCAUGAAGUGGAGAGUGGGAGCCUCUUAAACCUAAGUGCCUAUGUGGAGCUGUUGCUCUUUGUCCCAUCAAAGGAAGGUCUUAAGUAGUUCGGGUUUGCAUUGAAGCACCGUGUCAAUAGUAAGGAUCAAAAGAUUUGUCUGUUUUCAGAUUUUGUCUUUGAACCAAGACUUUCCCAAAAGAACACAGGCUUGUUUUGAAUAUUGCCGCCUCUGGGUGUGAGUGAUUAUGCAAGUCAGUAGUAUUUUUAAAAAAUAUUCUUAAUGGAUGCAGAGGUAUGAAAUUGCAAGAAAAACAGAAGUAUUUUUUUCCAACAACUCGUACAAAGCAGCCUUUGAAUGCAGGUGGUCCUCAACUUACAAGGAUUUGCAAUUCUUCCUCCAUCUGGUGAAAGAUACCAUCUACCAGUUACCACUUGGCCAUUUUCCAUAAUAUUGGGUUGGCCAGAAAGUUCAUUCAGGUUUUUCUUUAACAGCUUACUGAAAAACUGGAAUGAACUUUUUGGUCAACCCAAUAUAUCCUUCUCAUUUAACUCCCACCUGCAAUGAGUUGUCAAGCUGUCUCAAUUCUGUCUUAAACUUAAGUUCCUAGAUUUUAUCCGAUAUGUCUUAAAACUCUCCCAUAUGCUGCUCUAGUGCAGGAUUCCCAGGUGGCCACCUUCCUGUCUUGCCCAGCCUGCUGAAGCUGCCUCUAGCCGUCCUUUCUGACCUUGACCUCCAGUGCUCUGUACACCUGAAGUCUGAGGGGUUUUUACAAAAUAAAACUCAAUGUGUGUGACCUGUAUAAAACCCUCCAGUGAUUUCUCAUCACCCUCAGAAGUCCUCCCUAAGGAAUUAAAAGUCAGACCCUUUAAGAAGUCUUCAGGGCCUUGCAAGAGGAAGUCCCUGCCUCUAUCUAGAAUCAACAGCUCUUACCCUACCCCCACCAUGGCCAGCCCCCCACCCCAACCAGCAUACAUCAGACUCACACUCCACUUACAGCCUUGCAGGACUUCUUUCUGUUCCUCUAAUCUUCUGUGCUUUCCUGACAAGUCUGAAGGGUGUGUCUGAUGCUGAGAUUACUCUCCCCCUCUGUUGCUUCACUUUUCUCUGAAGUUGUGUUAGUCACUCAUUCGUGUCCGACCCCAUGGACUGUAGCCCACCAGGUUCCUCUGUCCAUAGGAUUCUCCAGACAAGAAUACUGGAGUGGGUUGCCAUCCCCCUUUCCAGGGAGGCUUCCCAACCCAGGGAUUGAACCUGGGUCUCCUGUGUUACAGGCAGAUUCUUUACUGUCUCAGCUACUUCUAGCUCCUAUUUCUUCUUUUUUUCUUAGCUUAAAUGUAAUUUCCUCUCAGGGAGUCCUCUUCACCCCAUAAACUAAAUAAAGUCCCCUUGCUAUUUUUUUCUGUAAUACUUCCUAUCUCUUUGGCAUUUCACUUGUUACAUUCGCAUGCCUUUUUCAAUAAAUUCUAAGCCCCAUGAAGGCAUAGAUGUGUCUGUCUUGUUCUACACUGUAUUGUAAUUACCAGGUCCACAGUAGGAUCUUGAAUGUUUUUUGAGUGAAUGAACAUGUUCAAAUCAACCCCAUAUUAGUGUUUGCCAGCCACACAUGCAUUUCAGCCAUCCCCUUUUGUUGACUUAAAUUAGCUUUGCUUAAUUGUACUAACUGUAUAUAAACAUGAAAUAAAAUAUGUACUCCUUAUGCUUAUAGCUUUUAUAUAGCUGUUAAACCAUUUUUAAAAAUCACCAAUAAAUGCAAAAAUUAUUAAACAA